rnacentral:rRNA from 1 species
GUGAGGAAUAUUGGACAAUGGGCGCAAGCCUGAUCCAGCCAUGCCGCGUGCAGGAAGACGCAUCUAUGGUGUGUAAACUGCUUUUGUACGGGAAGAAACACUCCCUCGUGAGGGAGCUUGACGGUACCGUAAGAAUAAGGAUCGGCUAACUCCGUGCCAGCAGCCGCGGUAAUACGGAGGAUCCAAGCGUUAUCCGGAAUCAUUGGGUUUAAAGGGUCCGUAGGCGGUUUAAUAAGUCAGUGGUGAAAGCUCAUCGCUCAACGAUGGAACGGCCAUUGAUACUGUUAGACUUGAAUUACAAGGAAGUAACUAGAAUAUGUAGUGUAGCGGUGAAAUGCUUAGAUAUUACAUGGAAUACCAAUUGCGAAGGCAGGUUACUACUUGUGGAUUGACGCUGAUGGACGAAAGCGUGGGGAGCGAACAGGAUUAGAUACCCGUGUAGUCC